rnacentral:rRNA from 1 species
UACCAGCUCUCCGAGUGGUAGGGAUGAUUAUUGGGCUUAAAGCGUCCGUAGCCGGCUUAGCAAGUUUCCUGUUAAAUUCAGCGACCUAAUCGUUGAGCCGCGGGAAAUACUACUAGGCUAGGGGGCGGGAGAGGUCGACGGUACUUCUGGGGUAGGGUGAAAUCCUAUAAUCCCGGGAGGACCACCAGUGGCGAAGGCUGUCGACUAGAACGCGCUCGACGGUGAGGGACGAAAGCUGGGGGAGCGAACCGGAUUAGAUACCCGGGUAGUCCCAGCUGUAAACGAUGCGGGCUAGGUGUUGGGGUGGCUACGUGCCACUUCAGUGCCGCAGGGAAGCCAUUAAGCCCGCCGCCUGGGGAGUACGGCCGCAAGGCUGAAACUUAAAGGAAUUGGCGGGGGAGCGACCACAAGGCGUGAAGCUUGCGGUUC